GUGACCUUCUCUAGAAGAGGCUUGGAAUAUUCUAAGGAAGUGGAGCAGGGCUGAAGGAAGUUAAUGCUGAAGCAGAACCUAGGUAGAACAACUGCAUAAGCUCCUGAUAAAGGACUCGGGGCAAGGGUGUGUAGCAAAUGACAAAAGGCAAGCCAGAUGGCAGAGAGAGAGUGAUUGCAGCUUGCCAGGGUAAAUGCAUGCAUGGAGACUGACCUCCCCCAUCAGGCCUCCCCCAUCAUGAGCCAAAAGGAGUCAGGUUGGAAUCAGGGGCGAGCUGGGUGAGGCUCAGGUCUUGGGGACACCAGGGCCUGGCCAGGACCUACCCGGUGGAUCUGCUUCAGUCGUAUCUUGUGCAUAAUUUCCAAUCAAGUCCAUCACCAUGCAUCAUUACACAGCUGCCAUCCAACUCAGGAAUGGCAACUCAGGCUCUGGACCUGCCCUGCUCAACAGGACAUUCUGUGAGGAUGGAAAUGUUCUCUGUGCUGUCCAAAAGGGUAGCCACUGGUCCCAGGUGAAUGCUGAGUCCUUGAAAUAUGUUUAGUGUGACUGAGAGUUGACUUUUACUGAAGAGUUAAUAAAUUUACAUUAUUUAAAAGGCCACAUGUACCUCGCAGCUACCAUCUUGGAGAGCAUAGUCCUGGACAGUCAAUCUCAGCCUAAACUGAUUGGCAGGUCAGCCAGGAGAGGUUUGGCAUCUCCAUCAACCAGGCUGGGAGUUGACUUUGUUGGACAGAGAAAGUCAUCCACAUCAGCCUAACAGGAAGCGUGAGCUGAGAAACGGAUGGGAACCAGAUCUUCAGAGUCAGUUCUCCAAUUUCCCCUUCGAAACAAAAGGCAGAGCAUUUGCACACUCAUUCAUCCAACAGAGAUUUCCUGAGUGCCUCUUCUGUGUCUCUGCUCUGACGUAAUAAUCAUGAUCUGAUUAUAACAUUAACAGAGGGGUAGCCUCGUGCCAGCUACACACUCUUUCUGUAUGUACUAAUUUAAUCCUCAUGGCGAUCCUCUGAGGUAGAUAUUACCUUUCUCAUUUUACAACAGGGGAAAGUGGGUUUUGGAGAGGUCGAGUGACUUUCUCAAUGAUAUGGAAUGAAUGUAAGUGUUCCCCCGAAAUUCAUAGUUUGAAGCCCUCACCCCACUCAGGGCAAAAGUGAUGGGAGAUGUAAGGAGGGAGAGGCUUCUAGGUUGAGAUGAACUCAUAAGGGUGGAGUCCCCAUGAUAGGAUUAGUGUCCUUCUGAGAAGAAGAGGAUCCAUGAAGCCAUAUGAGGAUGUAACUGGGAAAGGGGGCCCUCACUGAGGGACUGACUAUGCUGGCACCCUGAUCUUCUAGCCUCCAGACCAUGAGAAAUAAAUGUUGGUUGUUUAAGCCAACAGAGUCUAUAGUAUUCUGUUACAGCAGCCCAGCUGACUGAGACUCAGGUACUUGGGAGUGGCAGGAUUUGAACCUGGGUCGGUCUGAUUGCAGAGCCCAUACUCAUCAUCAAAGUACUUUUUUGGAAUUUCCCACUGGAGAGGGGGUGUGGGUGAUGGGCAUGGGCUGGGCAGUUCCUUGAAGAGCAAAGAACCAGAACAUCUUGUUGACUUCUGGAGAUGCUGUUACUUGCUAGACCAGCCAACAGGAGGAGGAUGCUGGGGCAAGGCUUUCAGAGGCAUUGGCGAGGGAUUUAACUCCAGCAAAAGCCAGGGGGAAGCUGACUGAAAAUGCCAAAUGUGGCCAGGCAUGGUGGCCCACACCUGCAACCCCAGCACACCUGCAACCCCAGCACACCUGCAGUCCCAGCACUUGGGAGGCUGAGGCAGGAGGAUUGCUUCAGCUCAGGAGGUUGAGAUCAGCUUGGGUAACAUGGAGAAACCCUGUCCCUACUAAAACAAACAAACAAACAAACAAAAAAACCACCCAAUGUGCACCUCUAGUCCCAGCUACUUGGGAGGCUGGGACGGGAGGAUCCUUUGAGUCCAGGAGGUUGAGGCUGCAGUGAGCUGUGAUUGCGCCACUACACUCUAGCCUGGGUGACAGAGCAAGACCCUAUCUCAAAAAAAAAGAAAAAAAAAGAAAA